CAAGAAACUUGACUGCUUCAGAAGAACUUAGAAGCAUUUUUGCCAUCCACACUAACCUAACACAUUUCUUCUGGAGGUGUGUGUGGAGAUUCCUGCCUUGAGCGGGGACAGCUCAAAGUUACUCCCUGAGGCCAAGUGAGAGAUUUGUCUGCAGUCAUUGCCAUGGAGAUGCAGCAGGACAGGGCACAGGGGCUAUGGUCAGCUCAUCACAUGUCUGCCACUCCUUCUUCCUCAGAAGGACUCACACUCUUACCCUGUUCCAGCACGGGAUCCCUUCCACAGGAGAUGGAAC